rnacentral:rRNA from 1 species
AACAAACGCUGGCGGCGUGCCUAACACAUGCAAGUCGAACGCGAAAGGGACUUCGGUCCUGAGUAAAGUGGCGCACGGGUGAGUAACGCGUGGGUAAUCUGCCCCUCAGUUGGGAAUAACCCAUCGAAAGGUGGGCUAAUACCGAAUAAUGCUGUAUCGCCUCGGUGAUUCAGCCAAAGACGGCCUCUGCUUGCAUGCUGUCGCUGAGAGAUGAGCCCGCGUACCAUUAGCUUGUUGGUGGGGUAAUGGCCUACCAAGGCGACGAUGGUUAGCUGAUCUGAGAGGAUGAUCAGCCACACUGGAACUGAGACACGGUCCAGACUCCUACGGGAGGCAGCAGUGAGGAAUCUUGCGCAAUGGGGAAACCCUGACGCAGCAACGCCGCGUGAGUGGAGGAAGGCCUUCGGGUCGGUAAGACGUCUGUCGGGUGGAAAGGAAACGACAUAGGGUGCGUAAUACCACUCUAUGUCUUGUACGGUACCG